UCCCCUUCUUAUUGAGAACCCCGUAGAUGAAAUACUUAUCGUCAUGUUGGUGCUUGGUAAAAUUGUUCCCUAUAAUGCGAUAUUCCGUAACGUUAAGAAGAAUGCUAAGCGUUCGAUAUUUAAGAUCUCGCUGUAAUUUAUUCUAAAAAUUGCAAGUAGUACCCUUAACUGAUGAGAAAAAUUCUAACUUUGCAAGUAAGUUUUACAAAGAAAAAGUUCUGAUGGUUAUGGUAAGUGAGGAAUGUUAUAUGCAUACGCGUCCUUUUUUGAGGUAGGUAUUAGUACCUAAAUUCUAAAGUAAGAGGCCUUUAUUUGCUAAAGUAAAAGCUACACAUCAUUUAUGUUUCUUUUAGAUCUCGAGCUGGGGAGGGACGAUAGAUAUAAUGUAAUAAGUGUCUAUAGGUCUUCAUAAUUUUAAAUAAUUAUAAAUAUUAAAUGAACUUUAAUAAUACAUAGUAUUAUUCUUUAGGUUGCGUUAGAAGUAUUAAGUAAUAUUUUUUAUUGUUAUUUAGGAGACAGAUAAAUGGGGAUUUACUGUAUGGUGUCAUAGAAAUUAUUUAAAAUCAAUUAAUUGAGUUACAGUAACAAGUUUAAUAAGGUGUUGACCCGCCUCUAGCCUGGAUACAAGCUGCCACACGGCGUGGCAUGGACCGAUAAAGCUCCCGGAUAGUCUCUUGCUGUAUUUCUUGCCAAAUUCGAUCCAAUUGUCGAACAAGGUCAUCAACAUUCCAUACCAGAUGCAAUCGCCUUCCUAUCAUAUCCCAGACAUACUCGAUGGGAGAGAGAUCUGGUGAUCUGGCAGGUCAUUCUUUACUUCUGUACUAAACUUCAAAGGGCAAAACUGAUCUAUGUAAUAAACUGUUUGAUUUUUAUAAAAAAACUGCUGUGUUUGUGCCUGUAAUUCUUAGCAAGUUUAUAAUACUCUAGUACAUUCUUAAUGCUCUUGGCUAAUACCUUAUUAUAAUAAUAUAUUAUGGGAGCCAGUAACCGCUAUUUUUUUUAGAAAGAUGCGUUAGUUUUUGUAUUUAUUAAUGGUACAGACUACCUUAUAUUAACAUUAAAAUAUACUUUCUUUAAGUAAAGACUUAUAAUUAGACAAUUUUUUAGAUAUAUUUCAUUAAAUUUUAAAAAGAAAUUUAGUUAUUCUUCCUCCAAAACUUUUUAAUUUAAAAGCGAUAUUUUACCUAAAAAUUAUAAAUAAAGGAGAUUUUGGAUCACUGAGUAUUACUAUUGCUUAAUAUUAAAAGGUAUGUUUUGAAAAACAUGCCUGAUUAGUAGCAAAGAUUUUGGAUUAUCAAUUGCCUUCUUAUUAAAAAUUUCCAACAACAAAACUAGAGUUUCACCUGACACUGCAAGAAAAAAAAAAUUAAGGACCCAACUUCAGGCUGUUAUGGAUCAUUAAAUAGUAUUCAAGCUAAUUGCAAUUUAAAAAUAUCACAGUAAAUAUAUUUUUUUUAAUUGAAAUAAUAUUCCAAAUUUUUGUUGGAAGUAAGAAAACCUAACUGUGAAAUCUUGAGUCUGUUAACAAACAUCAAUAAAAGCUAAGACAGUUCUUCAAAAACGUACUACAGAAUGUAUUUGAAAAUUUAAAAAAUCAAUCAAACCUUAAGAUUGCAAUUGCGAGGGAUUUUUUCUUUCAAAUUUGUACUGUGCAAAAAAAAAAUUAUUUUCCCUCUGAGUUAAUAACUGGAAUUUAGUGUGGAAAAUUUACAUUUUUUUUAAAAACUAAUAGUCAAUUAUUAUGAAAAGGUCAACAUUCUAAAAGUUAAGCAGCUUGAUCUUAAAAAGUUUCCAGUGGAAUCUAUAUUUUCCUGUAAAAUUUUUUGGGACUCAAUUUAACGAUAAGCUUCCCUUUAAUGAGGAUCAGAUUAUAAAGAUAUAAGUUUUCCUAUAGUUCAGAAAAUUUUAAUGCACAGGGGAACUUAAGUUUAUAAAAACUGAAUUAUUGUAGCUUUAGUGCAGCAUUGACAAAAUCAAGUCCCGUAUAUACAGUAUACAAAGUUUCUAAAAAAUAUAUUCCUUUCUAACCGAGCUUUCAUUAUACCAUUUAUCAAUAUAUAUCUUCCAGUUAAACCAAAAUAAAUGGACAAAAUUCAAAUUAGUUUAAAAGUACUUCAUAUAAACUUUUUUUUAACUAUCAAUUCACAAUUUCACUUAACAAAAGAAAAUCAUUAAAAAAAUUUGCUAAUGUUAAGAAUAGUUGAAUAUAAUGCUUCUACAAUACAGGUCCAUUUAAUAUGCUAAUAAAAAAUUUAAUUUUAAAUAUUGAAUUCGCAAUGCGAGUUUAAUAGUGAGUCAGUUGUAUGAAAAUAUACUGCUUUCGCAUUACUGCUGUUUUCUAGUAGUGGAAGAAUUGCCUUACCUUAUUAAAUUCAAGUAAUCAAAUAUCAAUUUAGUUAUCAGUUCAGGAGAGCAUGAAACAUUUAUGAUAAUAUAUUUUUCUACUAAAAAAUAUUUAAAAGUUGCGAACUAAAUAAGAAACAUAAAGUAUGCUGCAUGCAUAUGUGCAUAAAAAAUAACGAAGCAAUGAUAUGUUUUUGUAUUAAUGAUAAUAAAUAUUUUAAAAAAAUAGGAGUAGAAUAUAUAAAUAUUUAAACUAAUAAAAACAGCAGAUUAUUUUCUUUUGUAGUAUUCGGAAAUGAAAGCAAGCUAAUAACAGUUGCAAAAUUGUGGUUUUCAAGGAUAAUCAGUCUACACUACUUUACUAAGAAAUGAAACGUAUUUUAAUUGCUUGCUCCGACAAAAUAUUUGGCCAUGGAUGAAAUUUGAGUGAGUAAAACGAAGCUAGCUUAGAUAUUUUUUUUCUUUCUUGAUAUACGGAAAAUUCGAACGCUUAUUAUAACAAAUUUUCGAUCGUUAUUAAGGGGUUGUUCAAAUGAUGUCACUAAUCACGUUUUGCCUUACUUCUGAUCUGUAAAUACAGUAAAUGAAAGCUCGAUAUAACGAGUACGGUAUAUCCGAUAUUCUGAAGCUAUUUCAUUCUAGCAUGAAUUAGGAUAUUAGUCUUAAGAAAGAAAUCAUCCGUUCAUACUGUUUGUAUUAACUAUUUUUUACAGCAAUGCGACCGGUGAAUUUAUAUUCAACCACAUGACAGAAAUCCAAACUUAAUUUUGUCAAAACAAACUUUGGAGAAUUUGUUGAAUGGGAAUCAAACUAAACAGUUUCAUUAAUAUUUUUGUGUCAAGUUUUUUUUUAAAAUUUUUUAUCAGUAACUCACUCUUAGUCACUAAUUUUUAGGGAAUUACUUAAAUAUAUUUUUAAUUUGAAGAAUGUGUGAAUUUGAUUUAUAUAUUACUUUUUAUUGUUUUUCUUAUUGCGGUAUAUGACCGUCACCAAAAGUCUGUGACUAUUUGAAUUUCUGAAGUUGACAGGUCUGUAUAUGUAAUUUAAACCAAAUAGUAGUUCAAUCAAAAUAAAAGAUGUGAGUGAAACCGCAACUCUCUUAUGGAGGCGUGCUUAUAAGUAGGAGGUGCUUAUGACGUAGUUAUUUUAUCCAAUCCUGUUUGAAGUAAGGAAGGGCGGCUUUUCCGUUGGCCAAUCAAAAUUAAGUAUAACAUUUUUCAACAAGUGUACUUUUUUUAUAAAUGUUAUUCGAUAAUUUAAUUUUUAUUGCAGAAACGUGAUUUCCUUUUGCUCAUUUUCACUUGUAGAUUGGAAUAUGGAACAUGUUAAACUAAUUUUGGUUGCAUUAUAGUGAUUUCAUUUGUAUUAAUUUAUUCAUGGAAUAAAAAUUGAAUAAAGUUUUUGAUGCAAUUGGU
rnacentral:lncRNA from 1 species